CCCGGUGACCAUAGCGAGGGGGAAACACCCGUUCCCAUUCCGAACACGGCCGUUAAGACCCUCAGCGGCGAUGGUACUGUAGUGUAGGCUACGGGAGAGUAGCACGUUGCCGGGU
rnacentral:rRNA from 2 species